AAACAACUCCUCUAGUGCGCCUACAAACGCCAGUCAUACUCAGCUACCUUCUACCCUUAUAAAUAUACAAGCUCCCGUGUCGUUUCAUUUCUGUGGAUCAACCCUAAAUAUAAGUACAAUUGUGUUUGUACCUCUACAAGGUGGAUCAUCAUGAUUCUUCAGAGUGCAUUUGUGCUGAGGAGUAUAAGGGCUGUGCUAAUUAUAGGUAUGAUAUUACUAGGAGGCAUGGCUACGAAGGGAGAUUCGAUGAAAGUGAAAAGUAUGGAAUUCUUUAGCUCAAUUCAGAGCGAGCUUCCCAGAGGUCCGGUGCCUCCUUCGGAUCCUUCUCCAUGCCAUAACAGGGUGAAGCUCACGCAUGAAGGAUCGCAGUACUCUUAUGGUCAUGCUCAUUUCAUCAUGUGCCCGUGAUUAACUUCUAUCCCAUACUCCGACAACUUAUUAUUUCAAUCAUUUACGUUGUUGUAACAGCUCAAACCUUCAAAGUUCCAGUUCAUAGUCUUUAAACAGAGUUCAUGACCGGGUUCGAGUAUCAGGAGAGACACGUCCGAGUACAAGUUAUACUUGUUUGGUUUCAAAUCUCAUCAAAUGUGUCGUUAAUCUUACAGCAACGUCUUGUUCUGUAUCAGUGAAAUGUGUGCAAGUAGUCCUAUAUUUGAAGAACAAAACCUUUUGUUCUUUUUCUUGUUGAUAUCAUAGUAGAGUUUUCAUUUUUUUGUAAUCGUAUCUUAUCUGCCAAAACAAUAACUUUUCCGUUUUGCUAUGGGAUCUAUUAAUUUUUCUACUCAUGUAACCAUGAAUUUUUGUAAUUGUAACUAGUAGUUCUCGCAUUCAAAGUAGAUUCCUGUUUCUCAAAUAUGCUUAUGGUGUUAAGGACUGACAAAUAAACCAAUAGACGUUGUGGUUCGAAUCAUGUUCUGUAUCGAUACAUCUGAUUAACACCUGGAUUCCACUUUUGAAUAAGAUUUGAGAGCAAUCAUAUCUCUGAUAUUUUUUUCA
rnacentral:lncRNA from 1 species